rnacentral:rRNA from 1 species
GUCGAGCGAACGGACGAGAAGCUUGCUUCUCUGAUGUUAGCGGCGGACGGGUGAGUAACACGUGGAUAACCUACCUAUAAGACUGGGAUAACUUCGGGAAACCGGAGCUAAUACCGGAUAAUAUUUUGAACCGCAUGGUUCAAAAGUGAAAGACGGUCUUGCUGUCACUUAUAGAUGGAUCCGCGCUGCAUUAGCUAGUUGGUAAGGUAACGGCUUACCAAGGCAACGAUGCAUAGCCGACCUGAGAGGGUGAUCGGCCACACUGGAACUGAGACACGGUCCAGACUCCUACGGGAGGCAGCAGUAGGGAAUCUUCCGCAAUGGGCGAAAGCCUGACGGAGCAACGCCGCGUGAGUGAUGAAGGUCUUCGGAUCGUAAAACUCUGUUAUUAGGGAAGAACAUAUGUGUAAGUAACUGUGCACAUCUUGACGGUACCUAAUCAGAAAGCCACGGCUAACUACGUGCCAGCAGCCGCGGUAAUACGUAGGUGGCAAGCGUUAUCCGGAAUUAUUGGGCGUAAAGCGCGCGUAGGCGGUUUUUUAAGUCUGAUGUGAAAGCCCACGGCUCAACCGUGGAGGGUCAUUGGAAACUGGAAAACUUGAGUGCAGAAGAGGAAAGUGGAAUUCCAUGUGUAGCGGUGAAAUGCGCAGAGAUAUGGAGGAACACCAGUGGCGAAGGCGACUUUCUGGUCUGUAACUGACGCUGAUGUGCGAAAGCGUG